rnacentral:rRNA from 1 species
GACAGAGGGUGCAAACGUUGCUCGGAUUUACUGGGCGUAAAGCGCGUGUAGGCGGACGACUAAGUCGGAUGUGAAAUCCCUGGGCUCAACCUAGGAACUGCAUUCGAAACUGGUCACCUAGAGUGAUGGAGAGGAAAGCGGAAUUCCCGGUGUAGAGGUGAAAUUCGUAGAUAUCGGGAGGAACACCAGUGGCGAAGGCGGCUUUCUGGACAUUUACUGACGCUGAGACGCGAAAGCGUGGGGAGCAAACAGG